rnacentral:lncRNA from 1 species
UUUUUUUUUUUUUUUUUUUUUUUUUGUAAUCCAUGUUCCAAUAUUUGAAACAGAGUGGAUGGUAAAUAUGGCUCAGCCUGACUUUUAUCUGAUAAAACUUCAAAGAGGAAAAAUGUCACCAUCCUUAUCGGCCAAGUGAAUUCCACACUCAACUCGUUGGCAAGGUAGGGGAAUGACAAAAUGUUUUAUCUGUUUUGAGUCCUGAAGGGCAUUUUCCUGCUUUAUUCUGGCGGCUCUAAACCUGUCUAAAACGUAAGUCAAAAUAAAGAUGUGUUUGGUUCAGCCUCAGAGAGACAGAGGUUACUGCAGAUAUGAAUUUGAAAGAGACACCACUCUCCACGCCAACUGCUAUUCUUUUCCAAGAAGAGACCCCUUGUAAGGUCCCGAUAAAAAUCAGGAAUCAAACCUCAAGAUAAGAACCGCUUUUUAAGUGCUUGAUUUCCAAAUACGAGCAAAUCUGCCUCUGCCCAUCUCUAUGCCUAGCAAGGCACCGUGCAGCUGAAAUCAUUUCUUCCUUGUCUGCCUUCUCAGGAGCUGUGUGGAGGGCUACAGCUGGACAGAGAGCCCUCCCUUGACAGGAGAGCAGCACCUGCCAGGUACAGCAGGUCCCUGAAUCCUAGGCUGGGCAUUACAUGCUUUUCACUGAAGCGUCUCAUUUAAUUCUUCAACAACCACGUGGUGCUGACAUCACCUGUCUAUUACAGGUGUGGCAAGGGGUGAAGUAACGUGGCCAGGAGUUCCUGAGUGGUGCGGUGGUUAACGAAUCCAACGAGGAACCAUGAGGAACUUCCCUGAUGCUUCUUUUAGAAAUGAAUCCCUUAAAACUGAACAGCUUGGCGUCCUUCCUUGUCUUUCUCCCUGACUUAAUCGCAUCCUAAACACAAUCACUAGUAAGCUAAAAAUUAGGCACCCUGAGCACAAUUGCUUGUGGGUUAAAGGCGUUUUUCAGGAACUUUCCUAGUUUGUUCUAAUCUCUAAUCAAUACUCCCUUUUCACAAGUACUGUUAUUCUGGCCAAGAACCCAGAAAACCAUCAUCGUGAUCAUGCUGAGAUCUCCUGACUCCAGCUUUGAUGAUUAAGAUGCCCCCAAAGAAAGAAGAAUGAAUGCAUGUUUGUCCCAAUCCUGAUUCCCAUCUGAAAACCUGUUUUGCUCCUUUUUGCUAUAAACUCCCCGCAAUUCUUCCCAAUGGAGGGCACAGUCUUUAGGGCAUGAGCCUGCUGUGGCCUCCUUUGCCUGGCGAAGCAAUAAAUUCUUUUUCUCCUCCACCCAAAACUCUGUGUCCAUGUUUCUAUUCUGCACCAGUAGAUGGAGGCUGAGUUUCAGCAACACUUACCUGGGAAUAUUUAAGGGGGAACAGGAAGGAAGGCAAAAAGGUGACUACUUCACAUGCUUAUAGCGUCUGCAUUUCUUUCAUCACACCUUAAAUGCACCUUAAAUGUCACGCCAAUUUAGGAUUGGCACUUGCCAUCAGCCUCUACAAGGAUUAAACCAUGAGCCACUGCAGCUGCCGAUCCUCCACGCCCCCUGAAAGGAGCUCAGGGUGGAGAGAGGAAGGAGGUGCUCUGUGCUCCAGGAAAACUGGCAGAACAGGUCUUCGGAGAGUUAGAUAUUUUCAGGAGAUUUAAUGAGCCCAAUUCUUGCAUCUCUUUAGAUCUUCCAGCACUAAAAUCCUGCGUGGUGACCCUGAGCCUCGUGACUAGCAGCAUCCUUUCGUGAAAAUGUGUGCUUGGUUGCCUGCCCCUCCUGCUUCACCAAAAUCACACAUAUACUGACUUUCCACCACCUCUUUAGAGCGCUCUGAAAUACCGCUUCAUUUUGCCCCAAAUAAAACUUAACGCAUAACUCUCACAUUGUGCUUUUUUUCCCCCCCAAUCAGGUGGCCUAUGUGGUUCCCAUUUUACAGAUGAAAACUUGAGACUCGGAAAACUUGCUUAAGACGGGGACAUGCUGCCCUAGAAGGUGGUCCACCAAUGACAAUUUCCUCAUCCUGCGUCUCCACUCCGUGGGCCUGGAAAUGGGCAGUGGAAAUCCAAGUAUGACUGAUUACUUCCUUUCAUAGGACUCAUGGGGACCCAGGAAAGGUGACGCCACUCGGAUAUAUUUAGAGUGUGCUCAGCGGAUGUCUGCAACAGCAAGAGACUCCCUGAAAACCUCCAGCAGCUGACAGGAGAAGAGGCAUCUUUAAAACUCAGGGGUUCCUGAUUCUUAAGAAUAAAGACAAAGUCCUGGUGGUGUGGAGUCGUCUUCAACCUAAAAGGAAUCUUAGGCAUGGAAACAGAGAAUGAAUUCCCUGAAAUGGCAGAGAAAGAAGGCUGGCCCAAGUCACAAGAGGAGUCCGGCUUUGAAACGGAGCAUGAGGACUUGGACGUGCCUUCAAAAAAACAGCUAACACUUCAAAAAAAAAAAAAAAAUCUUAAAACCUUGUGCCACAUUCUAUAGACAGCAUGGAAACAUGAGUGGCUUUCUUUGGCAGCGAUAACCCAUACGGGAUGAAAGAAGGGAAGAAAGAAAGAGGAGGUGAAAUAUGUUCCAUUUCAGGAGCGAUAACAGGAGGCUGAAUUAUCCAGAUAAUUAUCUCAAUCCCUACUUCAGGUUUUUCAAUGUGGAAAGACUUCACUGGAGACCAUCUCCCUUUAACAACCGCUGAGCAUAAUUUAGGGGGAAAAAAAAUCUACUAAUGACCCUCCAUUCAAAAGGUUUUAGAAGGAGCCGUGGGUGGCAUAUUUAAAUGAUAAUGAAAUACCACCAGGCUGGGGGAAGCCACAGAUUACCUAAUAGGCAGCGUUUUCUCCAUUAAUGAUGACUCGUAGAGUAAGCCUGUCAGAAAAAUGAGAAUAAGAAUGAAAAGCCUUCUUCCCCCUACCCCUGAAUUUCUGACGAGAGGAUCUUCUGUGAAUAAAACAGAAGGGAAGAGGGGAUCAGACCCUGAAACAGAUCAAGACUCGUUUUCCUAGCUGCCCACUGGAAAAUGUCGCUUCUCCCGUUUGAUGGCUUUUAAAGUAAAAUCCUGAUCAGCUAGAAAUCACCAUCAGAUGUAGUUUGGCAUUGAAAGGAACCACGGUCUUCUCCUAAAGGGAAGACGCCAACUCCGGGAGGAUUAAAACGCUACAAAAGUUUUGCAGAUGUUCUGUAUUCAAAGCACCUGAUUUCAUCAGAUUUCUCAUUAGAAACAAGUGUCCCCAUCAAUGCAGGAUAAAGCGUUCCUCUCACACCACAUGAAUACAAAAUGUCAAGGUGAUUAGCAUAGGCGAGUCCAUGAGCAGCACAGAACAGAAACAGCUCUGAUAAGGUUCCUAUCUCUAAAUUUGAAGAUAUGCACAGGAGAGAUUUAUCAAAGACCAAACACAUCUCUCAGAAGCAUUUGGAGGAAUAAAUGUUCUGUUCGGAGGAAACAGAUGAGGACGUGCAUUCUGAAGCCCAGACAGGUACACUUAAUCCCUAAAGGACAUCUAUUUGAUGCUCUUGGCAAAGACCCCCUGAAUUCAUUAUCUCCUCCACCCCAGUGGCUCAGAUGGGCCCCUUAGACAUGGGAGUCGUCUUCUUCAUUCAAACACAUACACACACACAACCAUUAGUGUACACGGGAACAUAUAAAAAAUAAAAAGUAUCGAUCAUGGAUUGUGUGUGGGCAUGCUGUAUAUAUGAUACGUAUAAAAAGAAACGAGAUUAGGAAGAGCAAACAACAAUCAACUAUGUUUCAAAAAUCCUAAAGCACAGAUACACAUGCGAACGUGCGGAAAAAUGUGGGAUUCUUCAUUUUCGCCUGCCCUUAAUCCCAUCUCUGAUUCAUAUCAUUGCCACCUGUGGAAUACAGUGAUAGUUUAUUUAUAUAUGUCCGCAGCCAGUGCACCAGUCCUUGUCCAGAAGGUCACCCUCUCUCACCAGCAGCCUUGCGAUCCUUUGACAGGCAAAGAGCCCACCUUCACUCCACGGCAAAGACGGGCUUUGGUGAUUUUCCAAAUCCAAAUCCUCUUCAAAUCUAGCACAAAAUCCCUAAUAUGCCCCAUAGCGGCAGUGGCAGGUGGUGGUGGGGGGAUAGAAUAAUACCUCCCCCUCCCCCAAAGAUGUCUAUAUCCUCAUUGCUGGAACCUGUGAAUAUUUUAUGUCUCUCAAGGCAAAGGGGAUUACGGUUGCAGAUGGAAUUAAGGUUGCUAAUCAGUUGACUUUAAGAUGAAGAGCUUCUUCUGGAUUAUCUAACCGGGUUUAGUAUAAUCAGAGAAUCCUUAAAAGUGGAAAGAGAGGCAGAAGGAGUUGGGUUCAGAGUGAUUAGCUGUGAAAAAGACUCGGCUCUUCACUGCUGGCGCUGGAGAUGCAAGAGGACCAGGAGCCAAGGAAUGCAGGCCGCCUCCAGCUGCCGGGACAAGGCCAAACAACACAUUCUCCCCUGUUGCCUCCAAAGGGGGCGUAGCCCUACCGACACCUUGGUUUUAGUCCAGAGAGGACCAUCUCAGACUUCUGACCUCCAGAAUGAAAAGAUGAUGGCUUGUGUUAAGUCACCAGGUUUGUGAUCAUGUGUUACAGCUAAUAGGACAUUCAUGCAUAUGCCCUCUAAGGCCCUACAGAGGCUGGGUCGUGCCUGGCUCUGCAGCUUCAUUUUCAACCCCUUUCUGUUCAUCCCUGGCCUUGUGUCUUCUGGGUUUUCUCAUGGAUGUGCUGUCACAUGUUCGGUCAAGAUGGGGUUACCUCCCCAUUGAAGGCUCCUCUUUCCCAGCCUCCUCCUGCUCACACUGUACAGGUGAGCAAUGCCUGGUUUUCCCGCAACCCCUAUCCUUCCUGAAUCCUCAUUGCGGAGAGUCCGACGCCCUUAUUCCAUGAUCCCUUAGCACCCCAAACCUUCAUCACACUCGUUAGCACUUCUGAUAGGGAUGGAGUAGGAAAGUAGUUACACAGGUAGUCAAAGACGUCCCAGGAGGCACCAGAGAUAGAGAGAAAAACUUAGGGAACCUUGGGAGCCCACUGCAAGCUAAUAAUUGCUCAAGAGGCGUUCCCACUACCUCUCAGCAGCAACAAACCUGACCAGUAUCCAUGAGGAUGUGGGUUCGAUCCCUGGCCUUGCUCCGUGGGUUAAGGAUCCGGCAUUGCUGUGAGCUGCAAUGUAGCUCAACGAUGUGGCUUGGAUCUGGUGCAGCUGUGGCUGUGGUGUAGGCUGGCAGCUGCAGCUCUGAUGUGACCCCUAGCCUGGGAACUUCCAUGUGCUACAGGUGUGGCCCUAAAAUGACAAUAAUAAUAAUAAUCACUCAAGAAAGCCAUCAGAAUAAAGCACACCUGCUGAUCUAUAAAAGUAGGAGACCCUCAUUAUACAGAAAGCUGAGAUGAUUCAACAUAUUUUGGCAUCUGUUACCCCCUCCUGCUGAUUUGAGUAAGUGCCAUGACAGUGCCAGGGUGACCGUGUAGGAUCAAACACUCUCUUAGAGGAUGUGAAGGAGGAGCUAGCGAUGGAAGCUUGGCAUCCAGUUGAAGGAAGAAGGCGGUCUGUUCUCCCUCCCCACGUUCCUUGCAUGAUAAAAAUGUAGCCCACCUGAUCCUGGGGGCACCGCUUCUUUGCCUGCCCACCUGUUAUCUCUCACAAGCAUCCUAUCUUAAUAAAUCUAUGUCUUGCCUAGCCCUUUGUCUCUCGCUGAAUUCCUUCUGCGCUGAGACACAAAGAACCUGAACCACUGUAAGUUCUGAUGCUAGGUGAGUGAUUCUAAUUAAGAAAAACAAAACAAAACAAACAACAAACAAACAAAAGCAUGGGUUCAAGUCCCCCUCUGGGUGUAGGCUGGGUUCAAGUCAGCGGUGUUGUUGGUUUCGUUUCCUCAAAUCCUGAAAGACUCAUCCUGCUUGGCAGGGCACAUCCCUGGUUUUAGGGUGAAAGUCCCACCCUUAGGAAAGCCCUCCAUUCUGGGAAGUCUGGGGGAUCUGAGCACCUCAUCAAGUCUGCCUUUCUCAGCAGCACAGGGUCCGGUAUACAACAGGAACUCAAUAAAAGAUUCGUGAAUCAAAGGAUGUGAAUUUUCUUCACGUUUGACGGCAUGCUCAUUUCUCGAAUAUUCCCUUUUACUCCUGACUCUCUCCUAUCUGGUCAUCUAAGUUUGGCCCUAGCAAGUAUAUCCUGGGUGUUACCUAAUUCUGUGUUUACGGCAAUGACUAGGGCUCGUCCUGCCACCAGCCUUCCUAGCAGACCACCCUUUGUUGUCUCCUCUUAUGAGAAUGGGUUCCUGACUCAAUCAUCCCGUGAAGCCAAUCUUUACUGUGUACCUACCUCCAAAGCAAAUGUUAACAUGCCUGUGAAUAAAUUUCUAUAGGGUUUGAAAUGCGCUGGGCUCUCAAAAAUGAACAUACAUUCUGAUAAUGGUACCAUCUUUGAAAAGUUGGUUCUUUGAAGAAGAAUUAACUUUUUCUGGUCUCUUGGGUGCUAUUUUGUGUCUUAAAAGGGGAAUGGAUUCAGAAUUAUGGGGCCAGGUAUUCUCUGCUGGGGAUUUCUAACCUUUGAAGCACUCCUUUUUUUAAAAAAAAAAAAAAGCAAUAACUUAAGUUUCACUCCGUGAUGAAGUCUCACAAUGUUUUUUUGGGGGGGAGGGUUCCCAACGUUCAAGUUAUAUCUAUAAAAGGCUGUGGUUUGCAAAUGUU